UACAAUCAAGUGCUCUAUAUUUGCCCCGGUGGGUAUAAGCUUCCCUUAUUUGUUUCACGUUCCUUGACCAAUUAAAGUAAGCGCUACUUUCAAACCAGCCUAACCAUCCACUGAUAUCUUGCUUAUAGGACAUUUUAGAUGUGUAGGUAGCAAUGCACUAACAAUAUGUGUGAAGAUAGAUAGAUGACAGAUUAAUUACUAUAAUACACCGAUAUGUUUACAUAUAUACAGUAAUGUAUAGGUGUCCUUUCUCUAGCCAACUCUCAUCUAAUCCUUAACAGCUGGUAAUGGUGCUAACAUUUAGUGAUUAGAAGUUACUCUAUUUAGCGUGUUGUAUCCUUCUUCUGUGCGUUUUGGUUACAGGUUAUACGAUUAGGUUUGCGAGAACAGUAGUGAACUAAACUUCCCAGUGAGAGGUCUUCACACCAGGGAAGUGUUACUUCGCUGCAGCAGCCCUGCCUCGUCACUCAUUAGGAAGCUGCAGGUUGUCAGGCGUUUCUCUUGCGCGCACACGCACGCACACACAAAACCUCAGCACUAAAACUAAAUUAAGAAGCCGAUGAUUAAGACAAGCGUCUGCGGGGCCUGUCAUUUCAGCAUCCUUCCAUCAUAACAUUGUGGCACAGGGAAAUUUGCUUGAAAACCUGGAAAAAAAAUUCUCUGGGAGAGCCUCCUAUUUGAGAUCCAUAAAUGCUAACUUCAAGGAUAGACUGGGAGCUGCUUCGGAUGCAAGCUAGGAAUCCACAGAGGAAAUGGAUGUUGCAAAGACCACUGGGCGAUCCAGGCACUUCCUUAAACUCUGAUACAAAGAAUUAAGAACAAUGACUACCUUCGGGUCUGGCCAUUCUAAGAACAUAUAAGCAAUACCAUUUCACAUAUUCUAACAAUUUGCAAAUCAUGUUCAACUUUUUUAUGUUGUGGAUAUAUAUUUUGUCAUAUUAAAUUCAACUGUGAGAGUCUUUGUAGCAUUCUUCGAGCAUUUUCUGGCAUCAGCGUAUUAUACAGAUAGUUGCUUAUCGUGUUAAGAUCUUGAUUUAUUUGUAAAACUAUACGUAUGCGUCUUAGCAUAUUGCAGCAACCCUGAGCGAAAUAACCGAGAGCGCUGCAUCUUUCUAAUAUGCAUUAUUUCCAUACGUGAACAGUUCAUUUGUGUGUCUAUCUAUCUAGAGUCUAUACCUAAAGAUAGUCAAGUACCUCUUGGACUUGUUACCUGUAAUCGACCCAAAAAAGAACAUACGAACAGUAUACAGAUAAUUGCUCUAAUUGCUUGGAGAAAUGUAAUUGGCGUUAUAUUUUUCUGUUGCACUGUGUCUAUACUUAUUCUCCCUUGAUAAAUAUUAAAAACUGAACUGCUUGUCUCGACAUGUUCCUCUGUUUUGAAGCCCAAGAAGCACAACAAAAUCAUUACAAUAAAGUGAUCAAACCCUAUUACGCAUGGAA